UACGGAAGGGGCAAGCGUUGUUCGGAAUCAUUGGGCGUAAAGGGCGCGCAGGUGGCUCUGUAUGUCUGCCGUGAAAGCAUACAGCUCAACUGUAUUGUGUCGGUAGAAACUGCAGGACUUGAGGCUGGGAGGGGCUGGUGGAAUUCCCUGUGUAGCGGUGAAAUGCGUAGAGAUGGGGGAGAACACGCGUGGCGAAGGCGGCCAGCUAGACCAGUUCUGACGCUGAGGUGCGAAAGCGUGGGGAGCAAACAGG
rnacentral:rRNA from 1 species